GUUACAAAUAUGGAGAUCUUCCAAAGUAAUUCAUAGAUGGAUAGAUAUCUACCAUUCAGUAGAUAAUAAGUGGCUACAAAAUGCAGAGGCCGUAUGUGGUUAAAUCUUAUCUCAGGGGUACAGAGAAUAUAUCAAGGCGGUGGCCAAUAAUCAUUAAGCUGUAUAUCAAUGUCUAACCCCUAGUGAGACAGAGGAGUAUUAAACACACUAAAUUGAUACAAAAGUAUCAAAGUGUAUCUAUGGGCUGUUCAAUAUAUUCAGG